GAUGAAGAACGUAGCGAAAUGCGAUAAGUAAUGUGAAUUGCAGAAUCCAGUGAAUCAUCGAAUCUUUGAACGCACAUUGCGCCCGCCAGCAUUCUGGCGGGCAUGCCUGUUCGAGCGUCAUUUCAACCCUCGACCUCCCCUUGGGGAGGUCGGCGUUGGGGACCGGCAGCACACCGCCGGCCCUGAAAUGGAGUGGCGGCCCGUCCGCGGCGACCUCUGCGUAGUAAUACAGCUCGCACCGGAACCCCGACGCGGCCACGCCGUAAAACACCCAACUUCUGAACGUUGACCUCGAAUCAGGUAGGACUACCCGCUGAACUUAAGCAUAUCAAUAAGCGGAG
rnacentral:misc_RNA from 1 species